rnacentral:rRNA from 1 species
GAUGAACGCUGGCGGCGUGCCUAAUACAUGCAAGUCGAGCGAACGGACGAGAAGCUUGCUUCUCUGAUGUUAGCGGCGGACGGGUGAGUAACACGUGGAUAACCUACCUAUAAGACUGGGAUAACUUCGGGAAACCGUAGCUAAUACCGGAUAAUAUUUUGAACCGCAUGGUUCAACAGUGAAAGACGGUCUUGCUGUCACUUAUAGAUGGAUCCGCGCUGCAUUAGCUAGUUGGUAAGGUAACGGCUUACCAAGGCAACGAUGCAUAGCCGACCUGAGAGGGUGAUCGGCCACACUGGAACUGAGACACGGUCCAGACUCCUACGGGAGGCAGCAGUAGGGAAUCUUCCGCAAUGGGCGAAAGCCUGACGGAGCAACGCCGCGUGAGUGAUGAAGGUCUUCGGAUCGUAAAACUCUGUUAUUAGGGAAGAACAGAUGUGUAAGUAACUGUGCACAUCUUGACGUUACCUAAACAGAAAGCCACGGCUAACUACGUG